GACGAACGCUGGCGGCGUGCCUAAUACAUGCAAGUUGGGCGCUGAAGGUUGGUACUUGUACCAACUGGAUGAGCAGCGAACGGGUGAGUAACGCGUGGGGAAUCUGCCUUUGAGCGGGGGACAACAUUUGGAAACGAAUGCUAAUACCGCAUAAAAACUUUAAACACAAGUUUUAAGUUUGAAAGAUGCAAUUGCAUCACUCAAAGAUGAUCCCGCGUUGUAUUAGCUAGUUGGUGAGGUAAAGGCUCACCAAGGCGAUGAUACAUAGCCGACCUGAGAGGGUGAUCGGCCACAUUGGGACUGAGACACGGCCCAAACUCCUACGGGGGGCAGCAGUAGGGAAUCUUCGGCAAUGGACGAAAGUCUGACCGAGCAACGCCGCGUGAGUGAAGAAGGUUUUCGGAUCGUAAAACUCUGUUGGUAGAGAAGAACGUUGGUGAGAGUGGAAAGCUCAUCAAGUGACGGUAACUACCCAGAAAGGGACGGCUAACUACGUG
rnacentral:rRNA from 1 species